rnacentral:rRNA from 1 species
GAGUUUGAUCCUGGCUCAGGACGAACGCUGGCGGCACGCCUAACACAUGCAAGUCGAACGGAGAUAUUUUGGUUUACUGAGAUAUCUUAGUGGCGGACGGGUGAGUAACACGUGAGCAACCUGCCUCUGAGAGAGGGAUAGCUUCUGGAAACGGAUGGUAAUACCUCAUAACAUAACGAAGCCGCAUGACUUUGUUAUCAAAGAUUUAUCACUCAGAGAUGGGCUCGCGUCUGAUUAGAUAGUUGGUGAGGUAACGGCUCACCAAGUCGACGAUCAGUAGCCGGACUGAGAGGUUGAACGGCCACAUUGGGACUGAGACACGGCCCAGACUCCUACGGGAGGCAGCAGUGGGGAAUAUUGCACAAUGGGGGAAACCCUGAUGCAGCGAUGCCGCGUGGAGGAAGAAGGUUUUCGGAUUGUAAACUCCUGUCUUAAAGGACGAUAAUGACGGUACUUUAGGAGGAAGCUCCGGCUAACUACGUGCCAGCAGCCGCGGUAAUACGUAGGGAGCGAGCGUUGUCCGGAAUUACUGGGUGUAAAGGGAGCGUAGGCGGGAUGGCAAGUCAGAUGUGAAAACUAUGGGCUCAACCCAUAGACUGCAUUUGAAACUGUUGCUCUUGAGUGAAGUAGAGGUAAGCGGAAUUCCUGGUGUAGCGGUGAAAUGCGUAGAUAUCAGGAGGAACAUCGGUGGCGAAGGCGGCUUACUGGGCUUUUACUGACGCCGAAGGCUCGAAAGCGUGGGGAGCAAACAGGAUUAGAUACCCARGUAGUYCCACGCUGUAAACGAUGAUAACUAGGKUGUGGGGGGACUGACCCUUUCSKU